AUGGGCGCCCCUAGAUAUUUUGGCAAUUGAUACGUGCUUUGCUAUGGUUCACCAAGAUUAUUUGAUGGUAUUGUGUGUCUCCACCGCUGUGAGAUGAUUCGGUGGUUCCUGAAAUAUUAGUUAUGGUUGGAACGUGUUCUUGCCAUGGAUAUUUUCUCAUUACCAAUUAAUUUGAAAAUUUCCCACGUUCAUGUCUUUCCGUCACUGAGCUUUGUGCUCAUGCCGGAAGUUCUCAGAGAGUUUGUAGAGGACUUUGAAAAUAUUUGGCGGACCUCAGGAUUUGCAUGACUUUUGAAGGACAGUUGACAUAUGCAACACAUGUUGAUAUAAGUAUUUUGUUGUAGGCUUGCGUGUUCCAUGGGGCAAGGCUUCUUGGUUCACUACUGGUCAUGUCUCCGGAAUUUGUGACAAUUAAUUUUAGUAAAAUUGAACUAGUGGCUGGCCUCGGAAGCAAUUUGGACAGAUCCGGUAAAUUGUAAAGAAGCCAUUUUUAUCCCUUUAAAACUCAUUUUUGGCCUUAGCUGAAAUUUGGGGAGGGGUUUGGACCAGAAUAAGGGGUCUUUAUAGGAAGAAAAGUAUCUUUCAUAUAAAGUUAAAAGUCGUUCAAGUGCAGCGCUUAUAAAAAAAUCUGAAACAUAUGCAUCAUGCAUCCAUCUUCCAAAAAAAAAGAAA